rnacentral:misc_RNA from 1 species
AAGAGUUCUAUAACUCCCAAACCCAUGUGAACAUACCGUACGUUGCCUCGGCAGGUCGCGUCUACCCCGUAGCACCCUACCCUGUAAGACCCUACCCUGUAGACCUUACCCGGUAGGACCUACCCGGCAGAUGCGGGUAAGCCUGCCGGCGGCCCACGAAAACUCUGUUUUAGCAUUGUACUUCUGAAUACUAUAACUAAAUCAGUUA